UCCCUGGUAGUAUAUCGGUUAGUACACGCGCCUGUCAUAGCCUGUAAAAAUCUGCUGUGCGCGCGAAAGCUGGGUUCGACUCCCAGCCAGGGAG